AGAUCUAGCUUGCUAGAUGCUGACGAGUGGCGCACGGGUGAGUAACGCGUAUACAAUCUACCUUUAACUGAGGGAUAGCCCAGAGAAAUUUGGAUUAAUACCUCAUAGUAUUAUGGAGAGGCAUCUUUUUAUAAUUAAAACUCCGGUGGUUAAAGAUGAGUAUGCGUCCUAUUAGCUUGUUGGUAAGGUAAAAGCUUACCAAGGCUACGAUAGGUAGGGGGCCUGAAAGGGUGAUCCCCCACACUGGUACUGAGACACGGACCAGACUCCUACGGGAGGCAGCAGUGAGGAAUAUUGCACAAUGGAGGAAACUCUGAUGCAGCCAUGCCGCGUGCAGGAUGAAUGCCCUAUGGGUUGUAAACUGCUUUUAUACAAGAAGAAACCUCGGUACGUGUACCGACUUGACGGUAUUGUAUGAAUAAGCACCGGCUAACUCCGUGCCAGCAGCCGCGGUAAUACGGAGGGUGCAAGCGUUAUCCGGAUUUAUUAGGUUUAAAGGGUCCGCAGGCGGAAUAUUAAGUCAGUGGUGAAAGCCUACAGCUCAACUGUA
rnacentral:rRNA from 1 species